CCUACGGGUGGCUGCAGUAGGGAAUAUUGCUCAAUGGGGGAAACCCUGAAGCAGCAACGCCGCGUGGAGGAUGAAGGUUUUCGGAUUGUAAACCCCUUUUGUUAGAGAAGAUAAUGACGGUAUCUAACGAAUAAGCACCGGCUAACUCCGUGCCAGCAGCCGCGGUAAUACGGAGGGUGCAAGCGUUAUCCGGAAUCACUGGGCGUAAAGAGCGCGUAGACGGGAUAGCAAGUCAGAUGUGAAAUCCUAGGGCUUAACCAUGGGACUGCAUUUGAAACUGUUAGUCUAGAGUAUGGGAGAGGUAGGUGGAAUUCUUGGUGUAGCGGUGAAAUCCGUAGAGAUCAAGAGGAAUACU
rnacentral:rRNA from 1 species